GAUGAAGAACGUAGCGAAAUGCGAUACGUAAUGUGAAUUGCAAAUUCAGUGAAUCAUCGAGUCUUUGAACGCACAUUGCGCCCCCUGGUAUUCCGGGGGGCAUGCCUGUCCGAGCGUCAUUGCUGCCCUCAAGCACGGCUUGUGUGUUGGGCCCCGUCCUCCGAUCCCGGGGGACGGGCCCGAAAGGCAGCGGCGGCACCGCGUCCGGUCCUCGAGCGUAUGGGGCUUUGUCACCCGCUCUGUAGGCCCGGCCGGCGCUUGCCGAUCAACCCAAAUUUUUAUUCAGGUUGACCUCGGAUCAGGUAGGGAUACCCGCUGAACUUAAGCAUAUCAAUAAGCGGAGGA
rnacentral:misc_RNA from 1 species